rnacentral:rRNA from 1 species
UCUUAGCGGCGGACGGGUGAGUAAUGCUUAGGAAUCUGUCCUACUUAGUGGGGGACAACAUUUCGAAAGGAAUGCUAAUACCGCAUACGCCCUACGGGGGAAAGCAGGGGAUCUUCGGACCUUGCGCUAAUAGAUGAGCCUAAGUCGGAUUAGCUAGUUGGUGGGGGUAAAGGCCUACCAAGGCGACUAUUCUGUAGCGGUGUCUGAGA